UACGUAGGAGGCGAGCGUUGUCCGGAAUUACUGGGCGUAAAGCGCGCGUAGGCGGUCCCUUGCGUAGGCGGUGAAAGCCCCCGGCUCACCUGGGGGAGUGCCGCCUAAACGGGGGGACUUUGAGGGCGGUAGGGGCUGGCGGAACGCCCGGAGUAGCGGUGAAAUGCGUCGAGAUCGGGCAGAACACCAACGGCGAAAGCACUCUGCUGGGCCGACACUGACACUGAGAGACGAAAGCUAGGGGAGCGAAUGGGAUAGAA
rnacentral:rRNA from 1 species